rnacentral:misc_RNA from 1 species
AAAGUCGUAACAAGGUUUCCGUAGGUGAACCUGCGGAAGGAUCAUUACCAAAUCCAAACAACAACCACUGUGAACUGUAUCUAUGUCCUUAGGGAAAGCAUUAUGUAGUCGAGCAAUCGGCUGCAUCUUUCUUUCCCUGUUGAACACCCUUCAAACUUUGCUGGAUUGUUUUUCAAACGAUUAACAAAGACAACUUUUAACGGUGGAUCUCUUGGCUCGU